CCUACGGGCGGCAGCAGUAGGGAAUAUUGCUCAAUGGGGGAAACCCUGAAGCAGCAACGCCGCGUGGAGGAUGAAGGUUUUCGGAUUGUAAACUCCUUUUGUUAGAGAAGAUAAUGACGGUAUCUAACGAAUAAGCACCGGCUAACUCCGUGCCAGCAGCCGCGGUACUACGGAGGGUGCAAGCGUUACUCGGAAUCACUGGGCGUAAAGAGCGCGUAGGCGGGUUAGCAAGUCAGAUGUGAAAUCCUAUGGCUUAACCAUAGAAUUGCAUUUGACACUGUUAUUCUAGAGUAUGGGAGAGGUAGGUGGAAUUCUUGGUGUAGGGGUAAAAUCCGUAGAGAGCAAGAGGAAUACUCAGUGCGAAGGCGACCUGCUAAAACAUAACUGACGCUGAUGCGCGAAAGUGUGGGGAGCAAACAGGAUUAGAUACCCGUGUAGUC
rnacentral:rRNA from 1 species